AUGGAUGAUGAUAUGCUUUUUGGUGGAGGAACCAGACUGGAUGUUGGAAGUGAUGUCCGUCCCACCCUGACGGUGCUGCCUCCCUCCGGCGAGGAGCUGGAGCACGGGAAGGCCACGCUCAUGUGUCUGGCCAACAAGGGCUUCCCCUCAGACUGGAGUCUGGCCUGGAAGGUGGAUGGCAGCAGCAUCAGCAGCAGCUGCAGCUGGGAGGAGAGCAGGAGCCCCGCGGUGCUGCAGAAGGACGGCCGCUACAGCUGGAGCAGCACCCUGAGGCUCCCUGCAGACCAGUGGAGGAAGGUGGGCUCUGUGACCUGUGAGGCCACCCAGGGCUCCCAGACUCCAGUCUCAGAGACACUGAGGAGAGACCAGUGUUCCCAGUCCUGACCUGACUCACUGGGACUCUGAUACUGGUCUUACUCUGCUACUGAUCUCACUCUGAUCUCUGCAACUCUCUCUCUUUUUCUGUCACUCACUCUCUGAUUACAUCUUUCAUUGAUAAAGUUUCAUUGCUUGUGUAUUUUAUAUUAUUUCAAGACAAUAAAGACCUGUUCAUCAAAUCAGUUGUUUUCAUUUAUGUUAUUGUAUAAGUAACAGAUGUUGCUGUCCUAAUGGUUCCCUUAAUCCAUAACAAAUUUAACUCAGCUGAUUUUAAUAUUUUACAAUUGCAUGGAAAUACCUUACGAAAGAAAGUUUGAGUUGAUAUAAUGUAGUGCUGAAUAUACCUGAUAUUUUGCGAACAAAAAUCAAAAAGAUAUAAUAAUUAAAUGAUAGAACUAAA